UACGAAGGGGGCUAGCGUUGCUCGGAAUCACUGGGCGUAAAGCGCACGUAGGCGACUUUUUAAGUCAGGGGUGAAAUCCUGGAGCUCAACUCCAGAACUGCCUUUGAUACUGGGAAGCUUGAGUCCGGGAGAGGUGAGUGGAACUCCGAGUGUAGAGGUGAAAUUCGUAGAUAUUCGGAAGAACACCAGUGGCGAAGGCGGCUCACUGGCCCGGUACUGACGCUGAGGUGCGAAAGCGUGGGGAGCAAACAGG
rnacentral:rRNA from 1 species